AUAGCGUAUAUUAAAGUUGUUGCGGUUAAAAAGCUCGUAGUUGAAUCUGUGUAACACAGUGUCGGUUCACCGCUCGCGGUGUUCAACUGGCAUUACGUGUUGCGUCCUACCGGUGGACUUAGCUCUUCACGGGGCGGUCCGACCAAUAUCCUAGCCCGGUGCUCUUCAUUGAGUGUCGAGUUGGGCCGGUACGUUUACUUUGAACAAAUUAGAGUGCUCAAAGCAGGCUAUCCUCGCCUGAAUACUGUGUGCAUGGAAUAAUGGAAUAGGACCUCGGUUCUAUUUUGUUGGUUUUCGGAACCCCGAGGUAAUGAUUAAUAGGGACAGAUGGGGGCAUUCGUAUUGCGACGUUAGAGGUGAAAUUCUUGGAUCGUCGCAAGACGGACAGAAGCGAAAGCAUUUGCCAAAAAUGUUUUCAUUAAUCAAGAACGAAAGUUAGAGGUUCGAAGGCGAUCAGAUACCGCCCUAGUUCUAACCAUAAACGAUGCCAGCUAGCGAUCCGCCGUAGUUCCUCCGAUGACUCGGCGGGCAGCUUCCGGGAAACCAAAGCUUUUGGGUUCCGGGGGAAGUAUGGUUGCAAAGCUGAAACUUAAAGGAAUUGACGGAAGGGCACCACCAGGAGUGGAGCCUGCGGCUUAAUUUGACUCAACACGGGAAACCUCACCAGGCCCAGACACCGGAAGGAUUGACAGAUUGAUAGCUCUUUCUUGAUUCGGUGGGUGGUGGUGCAUGGCCGUUCUUAGUUGGUGGAGCGAUUUGUCUGGUUAAUUCCGAUAACGAACGAGACUCUAGCCUGCUAAAUAGGCGUACUUUAUGGUAUCUCGAAGGCCCCGGCUUCACGGUCGGUGGUUUUUACUACCAACGUACUUACAAAUCUUCUUAGAGGGACAGGCGGCUUCUAGCCGCACGAGAUUGA
rnacentral:rRNA from 1 species